GUUCGGAUCGCAGGCUGCAACCCGCCUGCGUGAAGUUGGAAUCGCUAGUAAUCGCGGAUCAGCAUGCCGCGGUGAAUACGUUCCCGGGCCUUGUACACACCGCCCGUCACACCAUGAGAGUCGGGAACACCCGAAGUCCGUAGCCUAACCGCAAGGGGGCGCGGCCGAAGGUGGGUUCGAUAAUUGGGGUGAAGUCGUAACAAGGUACC
rnacentral:rRNA from 1 species